AUUGAACGCUGGCGGCAGGCCUAACACAUGCAAGUCGAGCGGUUGAAGGUAGCUUGCUACCGGAUGCAGCGGCGGACGGGUGAGUAAUGCAUGGGAAUCUGCCUGGUAGUGGGGGACAACGUCUCGAAAGGGACGCUAAUACCGCAUACGCCCUACGGGGGAAAGGGGGGGAUCUUCGGACCUCUCGCUAUCAGAUGAGCCCAUGUCAGAUUAGCUAGUUGGUAGGGUAAAGGCCUACCAAGGCGACGAUCUGUAACUGGUCUGAGAGGAUGAUCAGUCACACUGGAACUGAGACACGGUCCAGACUCCUACGGGAGGCAGCAGUGGGGAAUAUUGGACAAUGGGCGAAAGCCUGAUCCAGCCAUGCCGCGUGUGUGAAGAAGGCCUUCGGGUUGUAAAGCACUUUCAGUGGGGAGAAAGGUUAUUCACCUAAUACGUGAAUGAAUUGAUGUUACCCACAGAAGAAGCACCGGCUAACUCCGUGCCAGCCGCCGCAGUAACAC
rnacentral:rRNA from 1 species